rnacentral:rRNA from 1 species
CCUACGGGAGGCAGCAGUGAGGAAUAUUGGUCAAUGGACGAGAGUCUGAACCAGCCAAGUAGCGUGAAGGAUGACUGCCCUAUGGGUUGUAAACUUCUUUUAUAUGGGAAUAAAAUGUUCCACGUGUGGGAUUUUGUAUGUAUCAUAUGAAUAAGGAUAGGCUAACUCCGUCCCAGCAGCCGCGGUAAUACGGAGGAUCCAAGCGUUAUCCGGAUUUAUUGGGUUUAAAGGGAGCGUAGGUGGAUUGUUAAGUAAGUUGUGAAAGUUUGCGGCUCAACCGUAAAAUUGAUGUGGAAACUGUAAGUCUUGAGUACAGUAGAGGUAGGCGGAAUUCGUGGUGUAGCGGUGAAAUGCUUAGAUAUCACGAAGAACUCCGAUUGCGAAGGCAGCUCACUGGACUGCAACUGACACUGAGGCUCGAAAGUGUGGGUAUCAAACAGGAUUAGAUACCCGGGUAGUC